rnacentral:rRNA from 1 species
AGUGAACGCUGGCGGUAGGCCUAACACAUGCAAGUCGAACGGCAGCACAGUAAGAGCUUGCUCUUACGGGUGGCGAGUGGCGGACGGGUGAGGAAUACAUCGGAAUCUACUUUUUCGUGGGGGAUAACGUAGGGAAACUUACGCUAAUACCGCAUACGACCUACGGGUGAAAGCAGGGGAUCUUCGGACCUUGCGCGAUUGAAUGAGCCGAUGUGGGAUUAGCUAGUUGGCGGGGUAAAGGCCCACCAAGGCGACGAUCCGUAGCUGGUCUGAGAGGAUGAUCAGCCACACUGGAACUGAGACACGGUCCAGACUCCUACGGGAGGCAGCAGUGGGGAAUAUUGGACAAUGGGCGCAAGCCUGAUCCAGCCAUACCGCGUGGGUGAAGAAGGCCUUCGGGUUGUAAAGCCCUUUUGUUGGGAAAGAAAAGCAGCAGGUUAAUACCCCGCUGUUCUGACGGUACCCAAAGAAUAAGCAUCGGCUAACUUCGUG